UAGAGUUUGUAAUUUAUUCAAUAUAUAAUUUUAUUUGUCAGAAAACGGCGGGAACAUUCGAGUCUUAGUUGCUUUGGUCGACAAUCUGACAAAUUUUGUACUCUAUGGAAAAUUGUAAUUAUUGUAUUUUUUUCUGUGUAGAGAAAAGUGGAGGUCUUUAACAGGACACGGAACUGAAGCGGAAAAGUUCUAAGCUGCUGCUGUACGGAUAUUUUGUACUUCAGUGGAAACAACUAUUCAAGCAGCCGAAUAAGAAGAAGAUGAUGUAAAUUACAAACACGUUCUAACAAACUGUGGCGUAUUCGGAGAAAGUAAAUUCAUAGCUUCCUCUGGAGGACACUAAAAAAAUAGAAAACUGGUUUUAAAACUCUAAAAUUCUCCUGUCCCAGGACUCCAGUACGUUCAGUUCAUGGAUAUAAACAUAAAAAGCCGCUUUAUUGUCAAUUUUAAUACAUUUUGCAUUUUAUGCGAUUUGCAGGGCAACUGAAUAAUCCUUUUCUUUGUCAUAAAAAAGUUCACAGUCCUAGGGAUGGCGAAACAAAAAAUAAUAAAACAAGUAAGAAAGCUACAGUCGAGUGUGGCCCUUUAAGAUACCCGGUACCCGUUUUCAAUAAAAGCGAAACAUUGCGGUAAUUUUACUACAAUAAACCAAAUGAAUAUACCGAAGGCUAUAUAUCAGAUAUGGAUAUAACUACAUAUAUAUUGACGACCAAGAUAUGUCCCACAAAGUGAAAGCUAAAACCGCCAUAAGAAUCCGAACCAUAUGAGACUCUUCUUGUUCAGCUAAUCCAUUUAUUAUUACUAUAACUUAACUUUUGAGCCAUUUAAAUCACUGCUUGAGCUUGUUUGUGACAUUUGAUUCGAGAUAACUGCUAACUGGGCAAUGGGGAAACAAGCAGUGUAAACGAAAGGAACUUUCCGGGCAUCAAUUACAGCGGCAGACGGCAGUUUCGCCUAAUAAUGCAGAAAAUGCCAAACAAAGUGUUUAACGUUGUCAAUUUAACAACCUCGAGCGCUUUUUUAUGGUGGGUGACUAUCCCCACCCCUCCUGUUACACAGACCAAACGGGACUACAAUGACAACAGCAAGAACAAGGGUAACAAAGCUCAGCGCCAACAAAAGUUACAGUG